rnacentral:lncRNA from 1 species
AAAUCUUGAGAGUUAACUAUUAUUAGGGACCUCAAAGCUUUCAACCCAUAUCAAAAUCUCUCUGCCUUUGAAUGAUAAGCAUAAGUUUCAUGCUUCAACAAAAUAGAUAACUCUUGCCUAUUUUCUAGCAGAAAUAUGCUCAAAUACACAUUAUUGCAUCGUUUUUUUGACUCCAUCAUCCCCUGAUCGCCUCUUGCAGAUUGAGUCUCAAUGAGACUGAUAUCAUACACUAAGAACGAAAAAGCAGUUGAGAGAACCAAAAGACCAUGCCCCUACUGAAAUUUCUUUUAAAGGUAAGAACUUCAAAUCUUUUUUCAUGUUGUGGUUUAGUCCGGUGCUUUUUUUUCUAGCUGAUUUAGUCUAAUAUUUUGGUGAAUGUUGCCUCUUUAGAAGAACGAGCUUUUGUGUUUUCUUUGAUAAUGGCUGAAAAUCAAUAAAAUUGAUAGUACCUGCAAAAUUGAGCAUCCAGUAAAAAAAGAAUCUGUAACUUAUCUCAAUAUGCUGUUUUCACAACUACAUGAAUUAUUUAAAUCAGAACGAUCAAUUCUGUCAUGUAAAUUCAACUUAUUUCAAAGAAAUCUAUUAAAAGAGGAUUAACGCAAGUUCAAACAACGCCUCUUCUAUCAAAUAUAUCUCAGUUCACCUUUUUAAGCAAAACUAAGUUAAAUUCUAUGACCAAGUCUAUUUCUAACAUUGGCUGCUCCGCCUGAUCAAGUCUCUUGGCCAAAGUAAUUAAGGGUGAUAAAAAAAAAUUUAAAAUUAAAAAAAGAGUGAUGUAAGUUUUAAACACUGAGUAGAGGUGAUAAUUGUAAGAGUAAUAUUAAUGACAUUAAUUUUAAAAUUGUUAAAUUUUACUAUUUACACAAAGAUUUCUGCACCAUAUUUAUAUAAAGAUUCCUACACCAUCACUAUUAUUCCUCCUCCACACUUUUUGUUCCCUCCUCCGCCUGUUCCUUCAGUAUCACCUCUUUCAGAUUCAUCAUUAUUUUCUUCCUCUACAUAACUAUCGCUUAUUUUUCUUUUUUCUCCUCCUUCACUAUCGCUAUUUAUACCGCAACAAAUAUCAUUUUCUCAUUCGACGUCACCACUAGCACCACCAUCUCUCUUUUUAUUAUAAAUAUCACUUUUUCAUGCGUUCUUCUCGAAUCACAUUUUUUUUAGAAAUGCAGCAACUGUUGAAGUUGCAGUAACUAUUGUAACAACUUUGAUAGUUGUUGAAGCAACUCUCCAAGUUGCUGAAUUUGCUGAAUUAUUUUUCAUUCAUUUUUAAAUGAAAUCAAAAAUUUUCUUUUUAAACUUCUCAAAUUUGUUUUAGAAAAUAAUCCAUAAAGAUUAAAAAAGGAAUAAGAACAAAAUGAAAAGAGAAAGAAAAAAAGAAGAAGAGAAGGUGGAAGAAGAGAAAAAUCUAGAGAGAAAAAAAUAAUAAGAAGAAGAUGGGGAGAAAGAAAUUUGGAAGGUGAAAGAAAAAAAAAUAGAAAGAUUAAAGAAAAAAAAUAGAAAGAUUGAAAGAUAAGAAAAUGUGAAAAUUUUAAAAUUUGAAAUUUAGUAGCCGUUUGACCAUCAAAAUUACAAUUUUUUGAAGUUAGAGUUAAAGUUGGAGUUGAAAUUGGAGUUGGAGUUGGAGUUGUGUUUGACCAUGAUUUUUUUGAUUUUUUUUUACUUUUGAUUUUUUUUUUUAAAAUAUGAUUUUAUGUCCCAACUUUUACAAACUAUCAAAAUCACCCAACUAAAAUUUACCAUUAACGAGAAAAGAACACAAUUAACCACUUUUAUAAAAAUAAUUACAUAUACAUGGCCAUAUUUAAUGAAUUUUAAUUAUGACAUAUAUAAUAUUUAUAUUAAUAGCCGUUUUCUCAUAUUUGAAAAAUUUUAAAUAUGGAUGUUAUAUUAACAUAUCACUGCUUCCUAUUUUUUAGGUAACAAAUAUUAUCUUUCAAACAAAUUUAUUUUUUUAGAAAUUUAUUUAAUUUAUUUUCUUUAUUUUUCGUUCCUAAAAAAUAUGAAGUGAUGAAUUGUUAUUAACUUUUAUGAUGCCGCUAAUUUUUUUCUUUAAUUUUCUUAUACAUGAAAGAUUUUACUGUGUGUGAAUAAAUUAUUUCUAUGUAAACAUACUUUGUAUAUUUAUGAUAUAUUAUAUCAAAUACCAUAAAUAUAUAAAUAUGCUUAGUAUGUUUCUUAAUAUUUUGUAUAUUUAUAUAUGUGUAUAUGAUAUAUACAUGGUAUAAACUUUAUAUAUAACAUACGUUGUCUAUUUAUAGUAUGUUUCUUAAUAUUUUGUAUAUUUAUAUAUGUGUAUAUGGUAUACACAUGAUAUAAACUUUAUAUAACAUACUUUGUAUAUUUCUGUUAUAAAUAUAAUACUUUAUAUAUUUAUGGGUAUAAAUAUAAUACUUUGUGUAUAAAGAUACUAAGUAUUAUGCUAUAUAAAGGUAGCAGUUGCAGUUUAAGGUAUAAAUUUGUUAAAUUGAACAUAUUUUUUUUAUGAAAAAUAUGUAUCACCGAUUUAUAUUUUUAGCAUAUAUAUGGUGUAAACUAUUUAUAUUUGAAUAGUAUAAUAAAGAUGUACACAAUAUAAUAUAUAUAAUCAAAUUAAAAAUGAGAAUAAUUUGUGGCAGUGGUAAACUAAUCUGAUACAGCUUUAUUAAUUUCAUAAAUAUAGAAAACGAUUAUCCAUUAUUAAUUACACGACUAUAAUUUCUUAAACGUCUGUAAUACAACAACAAAAUUAUUAUUAUUAUUAUAUUAUAGUAAUUAGGAUCAUUAACAAUAAAAUAAUGUCUUAAAUAAGGGAGAAAAAUAAUGAUGAGAGAGAAAAAGAGAUAUAUUAAUUAGGAUAGCAUUAAGUUUGAAAUUAUAAUUAUCUUAUUCUUUAAAACUGUUAUAGACGUAAUAUUGAAAAAAUAAUGUUAUAAGGAGAGUUUUAUAUAAAAAUUUAAAAGAUUGAGGUUAUAUGUAAUAAUAAUAAAAGUUGAAAUUGGAGUUGGAAAAUUGUGAAAACACCAAAAACCUGUUUUUCCUUUGCAGAAAAAAUUUUCAAAAUUAUUUUUCAAAUUUUCAUGGUCAAACAUCAUAAUUUUCAACUCCGAAAUUUUUUUUCGAAAAAAAAAGAAAAAAAUUUCAUGGCCAAACGGACCCUUAGAGUUGGAAGACUUUUGAAAAAUUUAAAUAGUUAAAAAAAAAAUUAUAUUUUACACUUUAAUUUAUUUUAAUCACUAAUUAAAAGAAAUUUAAUUUGAGUAGAUCAAAAUUGUCAUCAAUUUUAAUUUUAAAAUUUAUUUGUCACCUCACACUUAAUUUUCUCAAGUCUCUUGAAUACAUUACAAAGAGAACUCUAGAAAGAAUUUUCAGCAAGUCUAGCGUCCUUAUCAUCAAAUUAAAAGAUGAAAUGUUGGAAUCGUUGGGAUGUUGGAUGAAGUAUAAAAAAAUAAAAGGGAUAAAUGUUAGGGAGUCACAGUGUUUACCUUUUAUCUACUUGUGUUCAAAUUUUUACAACUAGAAUCUAUUUCAACUAGUAGAUAAAAGAUGACAAUACAGAGGGUGUGUUUGGUACGAAGAAAAAUAUUUAUCAAAAAAUAUUUUCUAAUUUUUUUAUGUUUGGUUGACUUAAAGUUUUUGAAAAAUAAUUUUUAAAUUAGUUUAUUUUUUUCAAUUCUAAGAAAAAUGGCUUUCCUUAAAAAAAGUAAGAAAAAUAUUUUUCAAAACUCUAUUUCAACCUCAUUCUUAAGUUGAAAUAUUCAUAAAACUCUCAAAAUCAUCCAUCACUACUCCGACCUUCAAUCCUCUUUCCCCACCCCACCCCGCCUCCUACCACUUCUAUUAAAAAAAUAUUUUAAAUUUUUUUCUUACCUUACCCCCUAUCCAAAACCCAAAAUUCAAACCUCUAUCUUCUUUCAGGAAAAAAAUUAAUUUUUUUUUAAAAAAUUGAAUUUUCUUUUUAAAAAAUUCAAUUUUUUUUCUUAACUCUCCUACCCAACCCCCUAUCAAUCUCCUCCUAGAUUUAAUUUUUUAAAAUUAAUUUUUUUAAAAAUUUCAAUUUUUUACCCUCACUCCCCUACCUCUACCCCUACCCCCCAAUACUCCCUAUUAAAAAAUAAUAUUUUAAAUUUUUUCUUACCCCACUCUUUCUCUCUUAUCCCCACCCCCAACUAGCCCCCCAACUCCCCCAAAAAAUUAAUCUAUUUUUUUAAAAAAUAAAAUUAUUUUCUUACCUCAUUCUUAUUAUCUAUUUUGCCAACCCCAACUCCCACCUACCAACCCCAUUUCAAUUUUUUUUUUAAUAUUUUUAAUUUAUUUUUUAAAAUAAAUUCAAAACUUUUUUCUUAUUCUAUUCGUUCUUAUUAUUUUUGUUAAAUGUAUACAAAUACUUUUAGAAAACAUAUAUUUAUCCUAUUUGCAUAACAAUCACACAAAUAUAAGUAAGAAAUAAUUUAUUUUUUUAGAAAAUAUUUUUCCACCUUCAUAUCGAACGCACUCUAAAAAAAUAUUUUUUGAGAUCAAAAAUUAUUUUUCAAAAAUAUAUUUUUACGCUUUAACUAAACACUAGAAUGUAUGUUUUGAAAAAUAUUUUUUCAUUCACUAAUUAAACACUAUAAAAUAUUUUUCGAAAAAUAUUUUUCAUCCACCAAAUAAAAAAAAUAAGUAAGAAAUCAACUUAUUUUUCAAAAAAAUAUUUUCUAGGAAAACAUUUUCCUUCGUACCAAACACACCCAGUCUCACUAAUAUUUAUAUUCUUUUUUAUUUAUUAACCUUCGUCCCUGCCAUCUUACCUCCAUCUUUUCAACUUCUCAUCUUUUAACAUAAUGAUGAAGGCGCUAAAUUUAUCUGAAAGUUCUUUCGAAAAAUCUCCUUCUGAUCUAUCCAUGAGAUUACUUCAUCAUGUGGAGCAGCUAGUAUAAGAAAAUGAUCUUUUGUGAGUUUUACUAGAUUUUAGGUGAGAAUCUGAAACGAAGAAGUGGAUCGAUUCUGAAAUUGAAAUUAACACUGUUUUGCUUGAAAUAAAAACAACAGUGAAUGGAGGAGUUAAGAGAAGUUAGCUAAAUUAAAGUGAAUUUAAAGAAGAGAUGAAAUCUUUGACCAAAAUUAUAAACUCAACUAAAAAGCAAAAUUAAUAUUUUUAGACCUCGUGUGUUCUCUUCAUCCUAUAUAUAUUACCUGUUCAUAUUAUUUCACUAUUAUACAGAAAUGUGAAGCAGUUAAUACUUUAUCAAUAUUUAAUAAAAAAAUAAAUAAAUAUGUCUGUUUAACUGUUUCAAUCAUAAUUUUAUUAUAUCAUUUUAAAUUAAUUAUUAUAAGUUAUCUAAUAUUAAAAAUUAAUAAUAUUUAAUAAAAAAUAAAAUAAACAUAAAAUAAUAAUUAACUUUUGAUGUUUUAAAUUAAUUUGACAUCUUAUAUGAGGCUUACUUAAAUUUUUUUUAUAAGUAUCUUUUAUAAUAACGUUGUUUGAUCAAUUCUAAAUAGUUAUAUCAAUUCUAAAUAGUUAUUACUCUCGAAAUUAUAUCAGUGUGACUUAAAUUGAAAUAGAAGAAAAAGUAUUAUAAAUAGAAUAAUUAAAACGUUAAAUUGACUAUCAAUGCCACAAAAAUCUGGACAAAGAGAGUAAACAUAUAUUAUUUGAAAAUUACAUAAAAAACACUAUAAAUUACAAUAGUUAACCACUUAAAAUAUCUAAAAACAUAUUAAAAAUAUAAUUGUUUUUUCAAAUUCUAUUUGUGUCACAUAAAUUGAAACAAAAAAUAACAUAUAACACAAGCCAUCAAUAUCUAUUUAGUAUAUAUAGUAGUCCUAAAUUGGUCGUCUAUUAAUUAUCCAUAUUAUUAUAAAUAAAAACUAGUUUUAGAAAAGCUUUUUAGGGUUAGUAAAAUUAUCCUUUUUAUUUAUAAUUUUUUAAGGGGCAUGUCAUGAAGAAAGCAGACAACUAAUACGAAAGGAAACAAGUAUAAAACGGAUUUUCCUAUUAAAUGAAUUAUAAUUUGUUCGUGUAUUCUUUCAUGAUUUGUUUAAUUACUAAACAUAAUCGAAAAAAGGUAUGUGAUUGUAUUUUUAAUGAAUCAAUCGUUUUUCAUGAAAAGUUAACAUGUUAUUUGAUAUAUGUGAUAAAAAUUUGACUAUUCUUAAAUUAUUAUGAUCAUUUAUCUCAAGUACCAGACGGACGGCAUAAAUACCUAUUUAAGUUUUGGUAAGUUUUGUUAAUGGUCAACUUGGAUUACAUUGGCUAUACAUAUUGGCGUAAUCACCUUGAUGUUGAAUAAAUUACAUUUUCAUUUUUUGAUUUCGACAUUCUUAUCGACUUUUGACUCAUUCUACUUCUAGCAAUAGAUAUAUCCCCUCAAAUUAAAGUUGGGAGGUGUUCUUAACUUUGUGAUUGCACUUUAGCAUUAAUGGUUUACAAUUUUAUAAGGAGGCAAAAAAGAAGCAAAUUGUAAGUGAAAGAAGAGAGAAAAUCCAAAAGGAGACAAGACAAAGGCAAAGACAUUUAUUAUAGUCUUUGGCCAUGUCCCCACUUCAGAAUUUUUUAUUUUAAUUAUCCACUGCAACUCAAAAGUGAGAUUCAAGAACAAGACAACAUAACAUAACAAUGUCAUAAUGUAUUUGUCAGUAGUAAACAUGUCACCACCCUCGUGUCUAUCCUACGUCUGUUGACAAGUAUUCGUUGCCAAGGAAGAUGGGGAUUGAGUAGAUUGUCAAAACUUAAAAAGUUUACUAAAGAAGAUAACAUAUUUUUCUCUUGUGCAAAGUAAAAAUUUUAGUGCAUCGAAAUGUCCUAUAUUUUAUUUAUUUAGACGAAUAGGCAAAUAAAGAAAAACUUUAAAGGUGGAAUUCAUUUGAAAAAGGAAAAAAAGAGAGAAUCCUUAAGUGUCUAAAUAAUUCUUGGAUUUGAUAUUUUAAACUAAGUGGGAUGAAAAUAUAUCCCAGAGAGAUACGUAGAACUCCUCAACAAAGAAAAAAAGGAUGCGAAUAAUUCGAAGACCCUAUAAAAAUUAGGUCCCAAAUUCUGAAAGUCCACUUAGAGAUGGCAAUAAGACACAUAUAAUAAGCAUGGAUAUAGUAAAAGCAAUAUUGUGAAGGGAAAAGGCAUAUUCAGAAAGCAUAAAUAAAUGGUGCAACUUGCUAGCAACCCGAAUUGUCCACGAAGAGUGAACGUGUGCAAGUCCAUAAUCUUGAAGUUAACGUGUACUAGUAUUUGAGAAUCUUGGAUUGAGUUUGGGCUUUCUCGUUUGGUUACAACAAAUACCUAAACUUUCACCUAAAUGAUGAGAAUUUGAUUCUCCACCUUGUAAGCCCCUUCCCAUUUGCAAAAUUAUUCUUCUAUACGAACUUCAUUAUCUCCUCUUGAGUGUCUUUUACAAUUUGCCAAAUUGAAUUACAACUAAAAACAAAAUAUACUUAAUUAAAGAAAAAGAUAAGUGAAAUUAGGAAGAGAGCAAAAUUGGAUAUCAUAUUACUCCAUCAUAUUUCUAUGCAGCUGAAUAACAAAGGCCCAACUUCGUCCCAAGUCCCAAGACUAUUGUUGUAGUAUCAUGGGUUGUCCUUGGCUGAUUCCAGAAGCCAGACACUACUCUUCUUUUUAGAUGCUGCUGGUGGUUACGGAAGAAAAUACAGCCCGAUGAUGCCACAAGCCCCACGAGCAGUGGCGGAUGUACAUGUAUUCCAGGGUUCAUCCGAACCCUCUUCGUCAGAAAAUUAUACUAUUUUUACAUGGUAAAAAUUUUUUUAUGUAUAAAUAAUGGAGGCUGAAUCCCCUUGACUAGUCCAUAUAUGUACUACUGAACCCCCUCAUUGAAAAUUCUGGAUCCACCCCUGCCCACGAGGUAACCAGCUAUAGCUCCAUAAGUCACACAAAUAGGCCAUUCCUACGUGCAAAUACCAAUUUCCAUGAAUGAGGACAAACCAUUUACUAAAACAUUUUCCAACCCCAUGCAGAGGUCUGUAAAAUAGGAAAAUGUCAUCUUUUCAUGAAGCGCAUAACCUAAAUAUAAAAAGAAUCUUUCCCUCCAGUUCUAAGACCUAGGAAAUGAAAAUGCAUAUGAAUAAAUUAGCAAUCAAGCACAGUUUUAUGGAGUUAUGAAAUCAAGCACUAAGGGAAUCAGUGAGUCGCUAAUAACUAUGACCUAAUUAACUUGUAACAAAUGCAAAUUCAGUGAGUCACUAAUAACUAUGACCUUGUUAACUAGUAACAUUAUGCAAAUUGAUCAAGCAAAGCGAUUACACAAGAAAUAUACAUUUAACAUGUGCAGUUGCAACAGCUAACAAUUGGUACAUCUAAGAUAAUUAUAGAGAAUCAGCAGGAGUAACAAGAACUAAGACGCAACUUGAUACAAACAAAUGUGGGAAACAAUUCCGGUAUAAAACUGCUUCUGCCUUUUCCGUUUUUCACCUUAAAUCCUACUGUGUCCAUUCAUCUCACAAGUGAUGUAAAUUUUGAUGAAAUUUUUUUAGUAGAGGAAAAACAUAAAAGGACAUUAUAAUAAAAGUGCUUUGCAUGGUACUUAAUUAGCUUUUAUUCUUAUUUACACAAGCAUACCUCAAGCAAGAAAAAAAAUUCAAAUUACAUGCCUUUGUAAUGAUCAUAUAUGCUCAAAUAACCAAAAUGAUAAUGCGAGGCAUAUCUUAGAAACUCCUAGAAUCAGGAUAUAGCACAAGUUGUUCUAUUUUACUUAAUCAGUGUGGAUAUGGAGAUCCUGUUGACAAAGUAGACUUAAUAAAGCAGACUUAACUGAUUCCCUAACUCAAGCAAAAAUUUUUUACAGAUGGCAAUGCAAUCUAAUCUUACCUCGACAAAAAGGAUCCAUAUAGUGCCAAUCUUUUUUCUUCCAUCAUUUUGAUCACUUUAUCUUAUGCAUUCAUUCUAGUAUAGCAGGAUACAAUACUUCUUUAUGGUAAAUGAAUUAGUACACUUUAAAAGAAAUCAUCUAGCAGAUCCCCAACACCUUUCAUUCAAAGCUAUGAUUCUCUUGGAUGUGUCCAGAACAACACAAACAUGUUUCCAGCAGAUGUGUGUGUCUUCCAUAAGGGCGAGUGAUACUAAUCUGAGUAGUGGGAACGAUGAGGUGGAAACCAUCUACAAGUAAGCGCCAAAAAAUUUGACACAAGAACAGGACAAAUAACUUCAUAGAACGUUCAUGGUAUCAAGCAAAUCAAGCCACCAGAAGGAUAGUGUGCACAAAUGCCACUCCCUGAAAAACUUUUUUUUCUAACCAAAAUCACCACCAAAGAAAAUUAGAAAUGGCUAUCGGAUGCUUUGCUUUCUAGAAGAACUGGGUAUCCUACUUUUAUAUGUAUAAGGUUCAUUAUGGUGAGUAAGGUUCAUUGAGGUAGCUCUACUUUCUUAAAACAAUUCAGAGAAGAAUUUGUUUGAAGAAAUAAAUUUUUUCUAUCUUUCCGUUGCAACUCUCAAAAGAUAGUGUUGUGGACUACUGAAGCUGUAGUGAAUACAAUAAUGCAUCUGAAAUUGAAAUAUCUACACCAUGAAAAGCACUAAAAUCUCUAUAUUGUGAACCUCGAAUCCUUGACAAUCAGGUAACAUACCUGCCAUGGGCUUUUCCAAUCAAGUGGCAUUGGCCAAGCACCAAACCACACUCCAAUAACAGCUCCAUGAGCUGGUAGAGAGAUCAUAUAGUCUGUGGACUCAUUUGCCCUACAAGAACAAACAUGCUAAAUAAGGUCUAUGAUAGCUCUAACAUACAAAUAUCAAAUGCCCACGGAUGAGAAACUGGAAAUUACUUUGUUCUAGCAAAUAUUUGGUGCCAAUCACUCUAUGAUGAGCCAAAAACACAAGCCGCUGGUACAAACUGUCAAACCAACAUUGCUGUAAGCAUGAGAUGAAUCCACUAAACUACAGUUGUUGUAAUAUUAUUGGUGCUUAAAAGCUAGAGGUAUCUUUUCAUGCAGUAAAUAGCAAGUCCUAGCUGUUAACACUUACAGUGAGUAGUGACAUCAGAAGAGACCAAUUAAGGGUCUUGCUGUAUCAAGGACUAGUUGGGUAAGAACUUAGGGGUCGUUUGGUAGGACGUAUUAGAAGAAAUAGUCCAUGUAUUAAAUGUAGUAUUAACUAGUACUAUGUUUGGUAGGAUUUUGGACCAAUGUAUUAGUUAUACACCCUACAUGGUAUUAUAGGGUGUAUUACUAAUACAUCACAUAUGAUGGUAUUAGUAAUUCAUAAGUUUUAAUACCAUGGGAUUAGUAUGUACAAAGACAAAAAUAUCCCUCAAAUUCUUUUAAAUAUUUUUUUUAUUUUCUUAAUUUUAUUUUUUUUAUAUUUGUACAAAUAAAUUUAUUCAAAUAAAUUAGUUUACAAAUUUUAUUAUUAUUUACAAAAAUGUCCUCAAAUUUCUUUAAUUUUUUUCUAAAUCUUUUUCAAUUUAUUCAAUAUGAGUUACUUCUUUCAAUUUAUCAAAAUAAUAAUAUCCCUCCAAAUAAUUUUAGUUAUAAAAAAUCUACUCCAUUAACUUAAAAAAUAUUUAUUGAUCAAAAUUCAAAAACAAAUUGUAUACAAUCUUUAUUUUGUAAAUAGGAUAUUCAUAAAUAAAAAUAAUUUUUCUACUUAAUUUUAACACUCUAUAGAAUACAAUUUUAUGUUAAUAAAGAUUUUAUUGUCUUAUCCAAAAGUUACACAUACCUCCCUCCAACUUAAAAACACCACAAAGUGGAAACAACAAACAAACGAUGAUGAUGAAUUCUGAUAAAAAAGAAGAAGAAACAAAAAACAAAUGAUUCUAAAGUAACUAAUUAGUUAUAUUGUUAACUUUUUUUAUUUUUAAAAAAGAAUAAUAAACUUUUGCAAAGAAAAUACACAAAGUUAUAAUAUAUCGGAGGUAUUUUUAUAAACAAAUAAUAUUCUUUUUAAAAUAUAACAAUGCAUAUUAUUUUCAAUACAUCAAACCAAACACUGCAUAAAAAAUAAUCCCAGUAUUACUAAUCCCAAUACUACUAAUCUCUGCACUACUAAUCUCAGUAUUACUAAUACAAUCCUAUUCAAUAUUAUUUUAUACACUCUACCAAACGACCCGUUAGUGUAUUUCAGAAGCUAUACAAAAAGAAAGCAAUAGAAAACCACUAUAUUUUGCAUUAACAUAGUCCAAGUUGAGGUAGGAUAGGAUAGAACAAAAUGACUCCAAUGGUAUCCGAGACAAAAAGAUAAACUAAUCUCGGGCACUUUUCUGAAACAUAGAAGCCUUGAAACAUAGAAGCCUUCAACAUGUCUGAUGAUCACCAGAGGCAGAUUCAGGAUUUGAGGAUCUAAACAUAGUUGAUUCUAUUCUCCGGGUUACUGAAAGUGAUGAUGAAUUUACGUAUUUCUCUGAAGAUUGGAGCUGUGCUUCUGAAGAUGAUUCCCUUGAUUACUGGUCUGAGGAAGCUUAUGAGGAUAUAGAGGAUUUAAUGACAUCUUAUUUUGCAGAAGAAGGGUUAUUUAAAGUUAAAAAAAGUAGAACUGUUAUAAGCUCCACUAUUGAUGGUGGUUCUGAUCAUAUAAUUGAUCCAUCAGUUGAGGUCCCUUCUGUGAGUAAGUAGUUUGAAAUAGAAAUAAUGAUAAAAUAAAUAUCAUGAAAAAAAUAAUAAUGAAAUACAAUAUAUAAGUAUUGCAAUAGAUUUCACGAGGGAAGUAUCUUUAAUCUGUAAAAAAAAAUAUUAUUUCACUCAUGAUAAAUUAAGGAAGUAGAAAGCCAAAUAGAGAGGCGAGAUAUGAAUUCUCUCUCGGUGCACGUUAAGUGAAUGUGCGCUAGCCAUGGGUAAGAGAGCUCGUAUUCCCUCGGCAAAGGAAAAAAUGGCGGUGGAGACAAAGCAAGCUACUCAGAGAGGGCUAAAACUACUCAAUUAAGUACUGAAGAAGAAGGAUCGAGUUCGCGCGGACCAAAUUCUAAUGGAACAGUAACUACUCAGUGCAUGCAGAAAACAGAGAUGAUGAAGGAGAAGCAAGUGCAGCAGCUGGAAGCAACUGCAACAUGGAAUGGGAUCACUCAACAAACUCCUGCAACCACAACAUUAUAUCGAACAGUAGUGGUGCAAAAUCAUGGACAGAUAUAGUCGAAGAGGAGGAACAACUUCAGAAUCAGAGGAAUUCAAUUUGGGAUAACUUUGACAUCUCAAAAACUGCUAAUGCUGGAUUUAAGCUAGUAUAUGUCAAGCCCAAACAGGAAGAAGACAUUGAAGUGGUUGAAAUUGAACUUGCUGAUAUAGAAACUGAAGAACAAUACUGGAAGAAUGCAAUUGUUUGCUAUGUUUUGGGAGCUUAUCCACCAUUUGAGGUAAUGAAGGGAUACAUUCAGAGACUCUGGUCGAAGCAUGGAAUCAUUAAGAUAUCCAUGAUGAAGAAUGGUGUGGUUUUGGUGAGAUUUGACACGGAAGAAGGGAAGAAUGAGGCUGUACAAGGGGGUAUAUUCCACUUUGACAAUAAACCCUUUAUUGUCAAAGCUUGGAGUCAUGAAAUGGAGUUCACAAGAGAUGAAUUGCUUACAGUCCCAAUUUGGAUUCGAUUUCCUGGACUUGACUUCAAAUAUUGGAGUCAAAAGGGGCUGAGUAAGCUGGGAAGCCUUAUUGGUAAACCGCUGAUGGUUGAUCAAAAUACUGAAAGGAUGAUGGGCUUAAACUAUAAACUUUGAAGAAGAAACCAUAUGAAAUCAAAAUAUCAGUGAAGUGCAAAAGGAAGAAAAUUCUCAUUACUCAACCAUUGAAUACAAAGAAGGAAAAACCAAAAACUUCUACCUCUAAUGUGUCUAUUUAUAGUUGCAACUUGUGUUUGCUUACAGCUGGAAUCUAUUAAUUUAACUAUCUAACUAACUCUCUAAUGACACCACUAACUAACUCAACAACUUGCUAGUUACACAAAAUUGACAAAAUUGAAAAACCUCUGGGAUGAGUAUGACUCCAUUUUGCCGCCACCUUCUUGUGAUUGUUACAAAGCCAAGGAAUAUGUUGAGCAGUUGCAAUAUCAGUGUUUAUUACAGUUUUUGAUGGGUCUGAAUGAUAGUUAUGAACAAGCUCGGGGACAAAUUCUCAUGAUGCAAACUUUGCCUAAUGUUAAUCAGGCAUAUGCCUUGGUUAUUCAGGAAGAAAGUCAGAAGGGCAUAGCAGGUUUUAUUCAUGAAGGAAUGGAGUCCACUGCAUUGUACACUGGCAGAUCCAAGAUGAAUCGGACACAAUAUUUUCAAAAAAAGCCCUUCACUCCCUUGUAUUGCGAUUACUGCCAUAUGAGAGGGCAUGCUAAGGAUGAUUGUAACAAAUUGAAAAGGUGUAGUCAUUGUCAUGCCUCCGGUCAUGUAGUGGAUGAAUGCUUUCAGCUGAUAGGUUACCCUGAGAACUGGAAGGGAAAGAAGAAGGUGAAUGCAGCUUUAGCAGGUUCUCAAAUGUAUGAUCCUCAAUAGGUCGCACAUGACCAAUUGUUGAAGAAAGUAAAUGUAGUACAAGGUGGACAAAUGUGCACACAAGAUCAGAUGAUGCAGUUAAUGCAGAAGGCUACACCGGAGCAGUGUCAGCAGAUCCUUCAUGUGUUGAGUAAGAAUAACAUGGAUGAGACAUUUAGGACUAUCAACAUGGCAAGUAAUUCUAGCCUAUAUUUAGUAAAAUGGAUAGUAGAUUCCGGAGCUACUGAUCACAUGAUAACCAGUAAUAGAUAUUUACAUGAUGAAAAAAUAGUAGGCAAUGUAGGAAGGAAAAACCAAAAACUGCUACCUCUAAUGUGUCUAUUUAUAGUUGCAACUUGUGUUUGCUUACAGCUGGAAUCUAUUAAUUUAACUAUCUAACUAACUCUCUAAUGACACCACUAACUAACUCAACAACUUGCUAGUGACACCGCUAAUGCACAGCUGUACACUUAACCAACAGCUCAACAUAAACUAUGCUAGGUUGCUUGUUGAAGUUGAACCGGACUCAACCUUGCCGGAGGUGAUCAGAUUUAGAAGUGAAAAAGGGGUUGUGAUCGAACAAAAGGUGGCUUAUAAUUGGCGUCCAACACUGUGCAAGCACUGUGCUAAAUAUGGAUAUUCCGUUGAUCAAUGUAGGAAGAAGAAAGCUUUAGAAACACAGAAGAGUAAAGAGGUGACCACAGAUGUAGCUGCAGAGGAGCCAAGGAAAUUACCAGAAGGGAUUCACCAGGGGAGCACAAGUGCAGCACCUACUGAUAAGCCUAUGAUAGAUAAAGGUAGUAAAAAGCAGACUCAGCAACUUACCAGGGCUCAGGCUGGGGUGCAUCAGCUAUUUAGCCGUAUACAGACAGAGCUAAAUAUGCAGUAUUCAGGAAAUCUUCCUAUUUAGCCAAGCUACAGCUUAGCAAAGGAGCAAAGCUAAUUGGGUGAAACUAGGAGAUGACAACAUUGGUUACUUCUAUUACUCAGAUUAAAAAUACUCGGGGUGAGAUGGAGUUUACAUCAUCUGGAAUUGCAGAGGUUUUUGUGAGCUAUUAUGAAGAAUUAUUGGGUGCAAAAGGUUCAGGAAGAGCAGCAACACAUAUAGAUGUCAUUAAGGCAGGAAACAGGCUAAGUAAUGCUCAACAACUUAGACUUCUGCAAGAUUUUUCGGGUGAAGAAGUGAGGAAAGCCAUAUUUGGGAUAAAGAGACUAAGAGCCCAGGACCUGAUGGGUAUGAGUGCAUUCUUCCAAGGCACAUGGAGCAGAAUUGGAGAAGAUAUUACUGGGGCAAUACUUGAGUCCUUCAGGACAGGUAAACUGUUAAAGUAAAUUAAUGCUACAAACAUUGCUCUCAUUCCUAAAGUUGCAGAACCUAUUGAAUCAAGCCAAUACAGGACAAUUUCUUUCUGUAAUGUCUUGUAUAAAUGCAUUUCCAAGUUGUUGUGUAGUAGGCUGAAAGAGGCUUUUAAGUACAUAGUUGCAGAUAACCAAGCAACAUUUGUUCAGGAGAAAUCUGUAAUACCCCACAAAAUCACGUGUCAAAUUCAGCUCGUAAAGCUCCAUGAAAGGUCCCAAGACUUAGAAAAAUUUUUCUAAGUGUUCAAGAUUCAACACUUUGUCUUAUUUUAGACAUCUAAACUUCGGGGAUUUAUUUGGCGACCUUCCCGACAUCCGUUUUUCAAUUUUCAAGUUGCAUUACGAUCGGGAAAGCUCGUAGUAUAUCCCGGGUGAGUUUUGGAAUUUUUGGAGUAGCGUAAGGGCACGUUUGGGUGCCCAAAACAGAAGCCCCGGGCGAUUAGCCCGCGCCACCUGCUAACUCUAGUGCUUGCCCAGUUUUUUUUCAGCAUUUCAGGGAAAACUUCAAAUGAUCAUAACUCCCUGUAUAUAAUGAACUAUGAGAGUUGCUAUAUAUUAAAUGAAAGCUAUGGGAGUAUUCUUUCCAAUGCAAUUGGUUUCAUCCAAUUUGGGCAUCUAAGUAAAAAAUUAUGAUCAAUUUACUUCAGCCUGUCAGACAGUCAACAGAGGGAUAACUGCGUCUUUUUCUCUUUUCUUAAGGGCAUUUUGGUCAUCUCCCACCCCAUAUAUACCCAUAAACACGAAAUUAACCUCAUUUUCAACCAAAAUACAUUCUUUUCUUCUAUUUUCUCUCGAGAACAAGAAGAGGAUUUUCAAUUGGGGAUUUAAUUUCAAGAAUCUUUCGAUCAAUCUUCCAAGAAUCACGAACUAAGGUAUGUGUGUGUUGAUUUAUGGAUUCCUUUCAUCCAUAAAGCUCAAAAAAAUCAUCUUCUAAAUUAUGUAUUAUGAUAUUUAUGAUGUUGAUGGUUGAUGAUCAUGUUGUUGAAAUUUGAUGAUGCCCAAGAUGGGAUCUUAGUAUGUUUGUAUGAAACUAUGGUGGUAUAUGAUGUAUAAACAUGUGAAAUUGGUGGUUGAAUACUUGUAAUCUUGGUGAAUCCACCUAUGCUAAAGAUUUGCAUGUAAGUUGUUUGUGAAAAUACCUAAGAGACUAGAAAUCAUGCUUUUAUGACAUAAUAGGUCCUAAAUGACUAGUCCAUGUUCUAUGCUUAUGUUCAACAUGAUUUUCAUGCAAAUUGUUAUGCAUUUUUGUUGUAAUAUGGAAUGCUCAUGAAAUUGAAUUUAUGCAAGUAUUUACAUAUUAUAUGCAUUCCCUUUUCAUGACCAAGAAUAUGAUAGCCAUGUGUAGUAUGAAACCCCCUACUUAUGAUAUUGUGAAUUGUAGACUUUAUUCUUAUGAUCAAGUCAGUCAUGUGUGUCAGUUUCCUUCCAUCGAGUCCUGGGGGUACUUGUACCCAAAAAAUAUAGUUGUGUGCCUAGAGCCAUGUCAUGUUGUCACGAUAUCCUCAGUCAAGCCAUGCUCAGUAGAAUUCAGUUAGUCAUGUGACUCAGGAAAUCUCAGUAAUCUCAUGAACUCAGUCAGUUACCAAACAUCAGUAGUAAUUCUGUCAGUCAAUGGAAAUUCAGUAAACUAAGUACCAGUCCAGUUCUACUCAGUACUCAGUAACUUCAGUUCUCUCAGUCAGUCCUCAGAUCUCAGUAGUAUUCCGUCAGUCAAUAAAACUCAUUAAAUUUAGCUUAGAUCAGCUAAGCAACACUAUCAGUCCAGUUAAUCAGUUCAGUUAAUCAGUUCAGUCAGUCAUGCUCAGUGUCUAUUCUGAUGGGAGUAGAAGUUAGCACCGAGUGAACCCAAGGAUGGGAACACACACUGUUAGAUGAGGGUGUGAUUCUUAGCAGCUAUCGUUGCGUUCCAAAACUAUGUAGCCAGCAUAAGUUGAGACAUCAACACUGCCGGCUUGAGGGUUGAUAAGGCGGACAUCCGCCGUUCUCUUUUGGGGACACUGCCAGAUUUGAGGGUCACUCACAACUUGUCUUUACUCGUGGCACGGUAUUGACACCCUUCCAAUCAGGGCAAGGAUUAGACCCCAGUUCAGCUACAUUAGCAUACAUGGGGCAUGUCAGUUAAACUACUACCUCCCACAGUUUCAGUCAUUCAAUUUCUGUAAAAGAACUCAGAUAGUUCUUCAGAAUAUCAGCACUGUUAGAUACAAUCAACUCAGAUAUAGUACGAUCAGAAUAUCAGGACUGUCAGAUACAGUCAACUUAGAUAUAGUACAUUAGCAUACAUGGGGCAUGUCGGUUAAACUAUUACCUCCCACAGUUUCAGUCAUUCAAUCUCAGUAAAAGAACUCAGAUAGUUCUUCAGAAUAUCAGGACCGUCAGAUACAGUCAACUUAGAUGUAGUACGGAACUCAGAUAGUUCCAUCAAAUUUAGGGCUGUCAGCUACAGUCACCCAUGUUAUCAGUAUCCAGUAUCAAGGCUAUCAGAUAUAGUCACUCAUGUUAUCAGCUAUAUCAGCUAUUAGAAAUCAUUUGCCAGUCAUAUUAGAUUUUAGUAAACUCAUGCUAUCAGUACUCAGUUUCAGGACUGUCAGAUACAGUCAAUUAGACCAGUCCUUCAUAAUCAGGACUGCCAGAAACAAUCAUUCCUUUAUCAGUAAUAAAGUAUCAGUCUCCUGGUAUUCAGUAAUGCAGUAUCAAUUCCUCACUUAUUAGUGAUUCACAGAUCAAUAUUAGUAAAUGCAGUCAUUUAGUAUCUCAGAACCGGAAAACUCAUGUUGUCAGUAUUCAGACUCAGUAGCAGUUACUUAUGUAUGUAUGUGUUCUCACGUUCAUAUCAGUCAGCAUUGUUCAUGCAUACAAACCCUUUGCAUUUAGCCUACCUCACUCUUAUACUAAGUACUCUCAGUUGUACUGACGCAUUCGCGCUAUGGUGCUUUCUUUUAUGUUACACCAUAGGUUCAGAUACACGAUUUCCAGACAGCAGUAGCUGUAGUAUCUCAGCUGUUAGAGUUCCAGCAGUGAGUCCUCAUCUCUCGAGGGCAUGAUCAUUACUUAUGUUAUGGUUUAUUUCAGUUCAGUUUUGCUAGUCGGAGUUAGUUGGGGACAUGUCCCAUCAACUCCCUAUUCAGACAGUCAUGUUAAAGGCUUUUCAGACUAGUAUGUUCAGACUUCAGAUAGUAUUACAAUUGUUUUGGGUAUUUUAUACCCCACUCUCAUGUUAUGAUUAUUCCGUUUUGAACCUUA